CUAAGAAGUGAUAUGAUGGAAUUCUUGGUAAGAUAUGUGUUCAGACUUGAAGAAAGAAAUGAGGCACAGAAGACCCAGUAAGUUGGCUUCUCGCUAAUUCAGACUCUAAGAUGCAAAUAUCCUACUUCUGCUUCAAAAAGAGAAAAUGGGAAUUGGAAGGAGAACACAAGUCUUAAAGAGACAAGGGAAUGAAUGCCCAUGGAAGUUUCUCCAUUUCUUCAGCCUCUCACUGCCUAGCUCCCAGCAUCAAAGAACAGACAGGGAAUUGGGAAGCCUUCUAAACUGGGUGAUAAGAACCCAUGAGCUACAGAUUCCGUGCAACCAGGCUCUGACAUCCAGAUGAUUCAAAGGCUCAUUUCAGUAAGACUAUUUCAAUCUCAGACUCACAAGUAUCUUUUGUAAUUAUUGUUUGCUUUCUGUAUUUUCCACUGUCUUGUAAGUUCUAUGAGGUCAUGAACUGUCCAUUUGCCACUGGAGCCUUGCAGCCUUUUCAGACCCAUAUCUCAUGUGAAAUUCUAGUGUCCUCAUUUUGUCUUUGGCAGGCCAACCAGCAUCCCAAGGCACUAGAACUCAUCUCUCUCAUUUAGAAAUUAUUUUGCAGUUCACAGUGAUUACAAAAGAAGCUUUAAGUUCCCAUUAAAUUAAAUCACUGACUCUCCUUUCAAAUACAG
rnacentral:lncRNA from 1 species